GGGACAAGUCUGGGUGUCGGUGCAGAUCCCACCAGAAAACCCUCCAGCAUCAGCAACAUGAGACUGUGGCUGACCCUCGCUUUCUUACUAGCAGCCCUUCCAGAUGUCCGGUCACAGGUCCAGCUGGUGGAGUCCGGAGGGGGGAUUCAAACCCCUGGGGGAUCUUUCUGCCUCACCUGCAAAGCCUCUGGAUUCACCUUCAGCAGCUCCUGGAUGAACUGGGCCCAUCAGGCUCCCGGGAAAGGACUGGAGUGGGUCAUACAGAUACACAAUCCUGCUGUUGAUUUAGCAGCAUAUUACAGUGAUUCUGUGAAAGGGCGAUUCACCAUCUCCUGAGACGAGUCCAGCACCAUGGUGUAUCUGCAAAUGAACAGCCUGAAAGCCGAAGACACCGCCCGGUAUCACUG